UGUUCUGUGGCUUAGCUGGUUAAAGCGCCGGUCUAGCGAAUACGGGAGUCAUAGGUUGGAAUCCCACCAGAACAA
rnacentral:tRNA from 1 species